UUGAGCAGCACUACAGCUGGAACGUGCAGAAGAGGCAGGUGGUGCAGAGGGAUCUCCGCGUCGCCAAGAGCCUGCAGCACCAGGAGGAGCGAGGAGUUACCCCGCGUCACGCUACGAGGCGACUGGAGGAACAGGACUUUGAGUAUGCUUUAUGAUUCAGGAAGAGAUUCAGCGUCGCGCAGCAGAGGCGAGGAAGAGGGAACGAGAUGACGAGGAAGUGGCCAAACGAAUACAGGAAGAGGAAGUGAGGGGCACCGCAGAGCUGGAGAGUGGUUGCCAUGGGAAAUUCACCAGAUUCCCACUCAGUGAAGGGGCGGUGUUAGAGCUGGGAUCACUGCAACAGGUUCUCCUGGACCAUGAGCUGGCCUGGAGACUACAGGAAGCGGAGAGAGACAGGAACUUACACAGAGUGUCCCAUUCCCCGCCCCUCCCACCAAGCUCCGCCCCCGAGGGAGACUCCCGAGUGGCCCAGGUGGCCCAGGACGAGGAGAUCGCCCGCUUCAUGCAGAGGCAGGAAAUGAAGACCAAGAGGAGGUCAUGUGACAUGGAGGGUCAGGGGUCACAGCAGGAGCGCUGGGAAGCAGGAGAGAGGAGGGCAUCUCAGGAACUAAAGGUGCAGGUGCUGAGGGAGGAGCCACCCUCACCCAGCCAGGAGAGAACCCAACCGUCCAAUCAUCGACGGCAGCCAAUCAGGAACAUCGCAGAGGAGCUGGAUCCAACCUUCAAGGCCCGGCGCAAGGACAUCGGCCAAUCAGGGCUGAGCUGCUCCGAUCUCUGCCAGGCCCCUUCCACUCCUGGCCGCGGUUUCCAUGACUACACGGAGGAGCCCCUGUUCAUCCCGCCCACCAAGCGGCAGAGUGGCCAAUCAGGACACGGCAAAGCCAAGGAGAAGAAGGAGAGUUGCAAGCAGCAGUGACCACGCCCUGUUGCCCCCGCCCCCUACAGGUGUGCCCCACACCGCCCCCUACAGGUGUGCCCCACACCGCCCCCUACAGGUGUGUCCCACACUGCCCCCUACAGGUGUGUCCCACACUGCCCCCUACAGGUGUGUCCCACACUGCCCCCUACAGGUGUGUCACACACCGCCCCCUACAGGUGUGUCACACACUGCCCCCUACAGGUCUGCCGCACACCGCCCCCUACAGGUGUGUCCCACACUGCCCCCUACAGGUGAACAGGGGGCCUGGGAAUGGACUCACUGGACUCAUUGUAAGCGAGCAAAACUGUAUUUGUACAGCACUUUUCAUAUGGAACUGCAACCCAGCGUGCUGUGUACACAGAGAUCAAAAACAGAAAUACUACAAAGACAAUAAUAAGUAGUUAAAACGGAAAGAUUAAAAUUCUAAUAAAAGUGCUCUGCUCGUAGUCCAGCCCUCAUUUUAAUGAGGUCCAGUCCCAGACCGGACACCUGAGGCAGGUCUGUCCCCCCUCACUGUGACGCACCUGAGGUAAAAGCCAUGCUGAGAAGAUGGGUCUUAAGAUUUCUGAUUGGGGCAGGCUGGCUGUUCCAAAGGCUAGCGCCUUAAUAACCCGACGCUGCCGCACUGUGAUUUUUUAGUUCUGGCCUCCGGGACGAUAAACGACCAGCACCAGAGAAUGUGACUGGCACAUACCUAAACAGCGUCUCAGAAAAGUAGAGCGGUGCUUAGUCACUCAAUCAAAAAAAAAAACCAAACAAACAAACAAACUCAAAACCGUUGCCGUGGCCCACUGCAUCGUGGGAUUCCUCCCGUUACAGCUGAGCCUGUUUGUUUUCAACUUGGUUUCGCGUUUCACAAACAGUUGUCGGGGAGAUAAACGUGCACUACUCCAUUAUGUAUGAAUCAUCGAAAGCAGUGGCGCACUAUAUCUGACCUUCCCCAUUGGUAUCGGUGAGUCAGCGGUUAUAUGACACGGAGUCGAGUUCCUGCUGAUGAUUUAAAUGUUUGUGAUUUAAGUAAAAUACUGGAAUGCCUGCGGUUUAAGGAUACGCCCGUGUAAGCCCCCGUUAGCACGUUAGCAGUGUGAUUAGUGACUCAUGAGAAAUGAUCGUGAUGAAAUAAAACACUGGGAUGCCUGUGGGUUCAUGAUACGCUCGUGUAAGCCCCCGUCAGCAGUGUGAUUAGUGACUCAUGAGAAAUGUUCGUGAUUUAAGUAAAACACGAAUGACUGUGAGUUUAUGAUACGCUUGUGUAAGCCCCCGUUAGCCUGUCAGCAGUCUGAUUAGUGACUAAUGUGAAAUGAUCGUGAUUUUAAUAAAACCCUGUAAUGCCUGCGGGUUUUUGCUACGCUGGUGUACUGUAUGCCAGGUGUUCUCGGGGCUGUGAUUCCGGUUGAAGUCCUGAGAACAGCCAGUGAGUACCUGUGGGGAAAUAUAAUUGUGUUCACCUGAAUCAUGACUAAUAGUGUUACACCUAACCUUCCCAGCCCAUCACCAGUGCUACCACUCACACACACAAUGCUUCUCACACUAAUACACAGAUAUAUUCACACAUACACAGUCACACUCUCACAUACACACAAACACUUUCACUUUCAAGUUUAAACAGGUCCUAGGUGGGACCAUUAUGUGGGAAGGUUACUUACUGUUCCAAAAUCCUGUCAGCCUGUAGCGUAGUGGUUAAGGUACAUGACUGGGACACGCAAGGUCGGUGAUUCAAUCCACAAUAAGAUCCGCACAGCCAUUGGGCCCUUGAGCAAGGCCCUUAACCCUGCAUUGCUCCAGGGGAGGACUGUCUCCUGCUUAGUCUAAUCAACUGUA